rnacentral:rRNA from 1 species
UACAGAGGGUGCGAGCGUUGUCCGGAAUCACUGGGCGUAAAGGGCGCGUAGGUGGCGCGACAGUCAGUGGUGAAAGCUCGACGCUCAACGUCGAGUCGGCCACUGAUACUGUUGGGCUUGAGCACUGUAGAGGCUAAUGGAAUUCCGGGUGUAGCGGUGGAAUGCGUAGAGAUCCGGAAGAACACCGGUGGCGAAGGCGGUUAGCUGGGCAGUUGCUGACACUGAGGCGCGACAGCGUGGGGAGCAAACAGGG